AGCAGUGUGGCCUAGUGGAUAAGGCACGGGCCUGAGAGUCAGAAAGACCUGGGUUCAAAUUCUGGCUCUGCCA
rnacentral:tRNA from 1 species